rnacentral:rRNA from 1 species
UCUUCCCUCUUUCUUCGUGCCUAAUACAUGCAAGUCGAGCGAACAGACGAGGAGCUUGCUCCUCUUACGUUAGCGGCGGACGGGUGAGUAACACGUGGAUAACCUACCUAUAAGACUGGGAUAACUUCGGGAAACCGGAGCUAAUACCGGAUAAUAUAUUGAACCGCAUGGUUCAAUAGUGAAAGACGGUUUUGCUGUCACUUAUAGAUGGAUCCGCGCCGCAUUAGCUAGUUGGUAAGGUAACGGCUUACCAAGGCAACGAUGCGUAGCCGACCUGAGAGGGUGAUCGGCCACACUGGAACUGAGACACGGUCCAGACUCCUACGGGAGGCAGCAGUAGGGAAUCUUCCGCAAUGGGCGAAAGCCUGACGGAGCAACGCCGCGUGAGUGAUGAAGGUCUUCGGAUCGUAAAACUCUGUUAUUAGGGAAGAACAAAUGUGUAAGUAACUAUGCACGUCUUGACGGUACCUAAUCAGAAAGCCACGGCUAACUACGUG